CUGGAAUCCACAAAUUAAAUAUAGCAUAUGAACAAAUUGUUAAUAAUAAGGAGGACCGUAUUUGGAGUACGCUUUUCGCGGUAGUUCCAAUCCCGGCAGUACAAAAGCUGAAAUGAAGGUAAACCGUGAAAAAGAAGGAAAGAAAGAAAAAAACGAAUUUCCUCGACUUCCUAGUAGAUGUACAGACACAAAUAUUACGAGAGAACAGGUUAUUCAUCCAUCGAUAAACGGAGGGAAAAGAGAAAAAUAUCAAGUUAUUUAAAUUGAUGCAAAUUUUAAUAUCACACGGAAGAAAAAUCCGAUGCGCAAGAAUUUGUAUAUUUACACUGGCAGAAACAAUACAAAUUUGCACAAGACAAAAAA